rnacentral:misc_RNA from 1 species
AAAGUCGUAACAAGGUUUCCGUAGGUGAACCUGCGGAAGGAUCAUUAUCGUGGGGAUUCGUCCCCUCUAGAUAGAUACCCUUUGUUUAUGAGUACCAAUUGUUUCCUCGGCGGGCUUGCUCGCCGUUGGACAGCCUAAAAACCUUUGUAGUAGCAGUAUCUUCAGUUAAAACAAAUAUUAAAACUUUCAACAACGGAUCUCUUGGUUCUG